rnacentral:rRNA from 1 species
GGACAAUGGGCGCAASUGGAUCCAGCCAUGCCGCGUGAGUGAAGAAGGCCUUCGGGUUGUAAAGCUCUUUCGGCGGGGACGAAACGGUCCGUGCCAACACCACGGAUCAAUGACGGUACUCGCAGAAGAAGCACCGGCUAACUACGUGCCAGCAGCCGCGGUAAUACGUAGGGUGCGGGCGUUAAUCGGAAUUACUGGGCGUAAAGCGUGCGCAGGCGGCUCCUUAAGUCAGAUGUGAAAUCCCCGGGCUUAACCUGGGAACUGCGUUUGAAACUGAGGGGCUUAAGUGUGGAAGAGGGGGGUGGAAUUCCAGGUGUAGCGGUGGAAUGCGUAGAUAUCUGGAAGAACACCAGUGGCGAAGGCGGCCUUCUGGACUGACACUGACGCUGAGGCGCGAAAGCUGGGGGAGCAAACAGGAUUAGAUACCCUGGUAGUCCCAGCCGUAAACGAUGGGUACUAGGUGCUGGGUGCUUCGACGCAUUCAGCGCCGCAGCUAACGCAUUAAGUACCCCGCCUGGGGAGUACGGCCGCAAGGCUGA